rnacentral:misc_RNA from 1 species
GAUGAAGAACGUAGUGAAAUGCGAUAAGUAAUGUGAAUUGCAGAAUUCAGUGAAUCAUCGAAUCUUUGAACGCACAUUGCGCCCCUUGGUAUUCCGAGGGGCAUGCCUGUUCGAGCGUCAUUACACCACUCAAGCUAUGCUUGGUAUUGGGCGUCGUCCUUAGUUGGGCGCGCCUUAAAGACCUCGGCGAGGCCACUCCGGCUUUAGGCGUAGUAGAAUUUAUUCGAACGUCUGUCAAAGGAGAGGAACUCUGCCGACUGAAACCUUUAUUUUUCUAGGGUGACCUCGGAUCAGGUAGGGAUACCCGCUGAACUUAAGCAUAUCAAUAAGCGGAGGA